rnacentral:lncRNA from 1 species
AAACUUUGCCUUCGAUUAGCUGUAGUCUGAGGCCCUCUUGUUCAAUUCACAGACCUCAGGAGGAAAGUAAAAGCUGCCGCCAGGAACCUGUCAUUCUGGCCUCACUGAUUCCUAGGUUGGAUGUCAUCUACUGUCACUUAGAAAGAAGGCUCUCUGGGCUCAGCCUGCGGGGCGGGUCUGCAGCCCUGUGCAGUGGAGACAGCACUCGGGGAGAACCGUCCAAUCCCGGCACAGCCAGGGCUGCUUCCGCGUCUGGCCGUGCCCUUUCCUUCUGAGCCGCCCUUCUCGCGAUUUCGGCUUCCGUCGUCAGCCCUGGGGUCCCGCUGGCUUUGCCCUGCAGGUGCUGAAGAUCCCUGGUGGCCGCCUGGCUCCCGAGCGCCUGGAAAUGGGUGCUUUACCAGGAGCUCCAUCCCUGGUUCUGAUGUAGGGCGGAGGGGGCGGCACCUGAGGAAUUCGCGGGCAGCAGGUUUACUUAAGUUGCAGC